rnacentral:rRNA from 1 species
UACGUAGGGUGCGAGCGUUGUCCGGAAUUAUUGGGCGUAAAGAGCUCGUAGGCGGUCUGUCGCGUCGGUCGUGAAAACUUGGGGCUUAACCCUGAGCUUGCGGUCGAUACGGGCAUGACUGGAGUUCGGCAGGGGAGGCUGGAAUUCCUGGUGUAGCGGUGAAAUGCGCAGGAUAUCAGGAGGAACACCGGUGGCGAAGGCGGGUCUCUGGGCCGAUACUGACGCUGAGGAGCGAAAGCGUGGGGAGCGAACAGG